rnacentral:rRNA from 1 species
GAACGCUGGCGGCGUGGAUCAGACAUGCAAGUCGAGCGAGAUUUUUCGUUGUAGCAAUACGAUGGAAAGUCUAGCGGCGAACGGGUGCUUAACACGUGGGCAACCUGCCAUGAAGUGGGGGAUAGCUCGCCGAAAGGCGAAUUAAUACCGCAUGUGAUUAGAGAGGACAUCCUUUCGAAAUUAAAGUCGGGGCAACCUGACGCUUCUUGUGGGGCCCGCGGCCUAUCAGCUAGUUGGUGAGGUAACGGCUCACCAAGGCUUUGACGGGUAGCUGGUCUGAGAGGACGACCAGCCACACUGGGACUGAGACACGGCCCAGACACCUACGGGUGGCAGCAGUCGAGAAUUUUUGACAAUGGGGGAAACCCUGAUCGAGCGACGCCGCGUGGAGGAUGAAGGUCUUCGGAUUGUAAACUCCUGUCAUUGGGGAACAAGGUGCAUACGUUAACUGCGUGUGCAUUGAUAGUACCCGAAGAGGAAGAGACGGCUAACUCUGUGCCAGCAGCCGCGGUAAUACAGAGGUCUCAAGCGUUGUUCGGAUUCAUUGGGCGUAAAGGGUGCGUAGGCGGCGCGGUAAGUUGGGUGUGAAAUCUCGGAGCUUAACUCCGAAACUGCAUUCGAUACUGCCGUGCUUGAGGACUGGAGAGGAGACUGGAAUUUACGGUGUAGCGGUGAAAUGCGUAGAUAUCGUAAGGAAGACCAGUGGCGAAGGCGGGUCUCUGGACAGUUCCUGACGCUGAGGCACGAAGGCCAGGGGAGCAAACGGGAUUAGAUACCCCGGUAGUCCUGGCAGUAAACGGUGCACGUUUGGUGUGGGAGGAUUCGACCCCUUCUGCGCCGGAGCUAACGCGUUAAACGUGCCGCCUGGGGAGUACGGUCGCAAGAUUAAAACUCAAAGAAAUUGACGGGGGCCCGCACAAGCGGUGGAGCAUGUGGCUUAAUUCGAGGCUACGCGAAGAACCUUAUCCCAGACUUGACAUGCACGGAUACCGACGGCGAAAGUCGACCCGGUUGCCUUCGGGUGAAACGUGCACAGCUGCUGCAUGGCUGUCGUCAGCUCGUGUCGUGAGAUGUCGGCUUAAGUGCCUUAACGAGCGAAACCCCUAUCCUUAGUUGCUACAGGUAAUGCUGAGGACUCUAGGGAGACUGCCGGUGUUAAACCGGAGGAAGGCGGGGAUGACGUCAAGUCCUCAUGGCGCUUAUGUCUGGGGCUGCACACGUGCUACAAUCGGGCGGACAAAGGGAAGCAAGACCGCGAGGUGGAGCAAACCCCAAAAACCGUCCGUCAGUUCAGAUUGAAGGCUGCAACUCGCCUUCAUGAAGCUGGAAUCGCUAGUAAUCGCGGAUCAGCUACGCCGCGGUGAAUGUGUUCC